rnacentral:rRNA from 1 species
UACAGAGGGGGCAAGCGUUGUUCGGAAUUACUGGGCGUAAAGGGCGCGUAGGCGGUCUGUUAAGUCGAACGUGAAAUCCCCGGGCUCAACCCGGGAACUGCGUCCGAUACUGGCAGGCUUGAAUUCGGGAGAGGGAUGUGGAAUUCCAGGUGUAGCGGUGAAAUGCGUAGAUAUCUGGAGGAACACCGGUGGCGAAGGCGGCAUCCUGGACCGAUAUUGACGCUGAUGCGCGAAAGCCAGGGGAGCAAACGGG